GGGAUGCAUCCCAUCCACACAUCCUCUCAUGAAAGAGCAUCAUCUAAAGGGCCAUAUCAAAUAAGAGGAGGUGCAGAUCAAGUGAGGAGGUGUAUCAAAUGAUAUGUCCUUUCAUGUGGUGCCAUAUUUUGACCAAGUCAACAUCACAUGCUAAUCACAUGUCCAUCACGCCUCACCUCUUGAUCUUUCAUGAUGAUGAUCCAAUGGCUCCAAUGCAAGGCGCCAUUCACUUGACCCAUUAUGUCUUCAUCCAAUGGUGGGAUUAAGAUCCAAUGGUCAA
rnacentral:lncRNA from 1 species